AAAACUUUGUCCAGGGUUACUACAUAACAUAGCACGACAACUGUAAACUAUGUACUACUGUACUAAAGAACCCCCGGAAUGAUGUAGGCUAUGGGGCCACAUAAGACUUUGUCCAUCCAGGGUUACAUUGAACGAGAACUUUAAACUAAAGAACCCCCUGAAUGAUGUAGGCUAUGGGGCCACAUAAGACUUUGUCCAUCCAGGGUUACAUUGAACGAGAACUUUAAACUAAAGAACCCCCUGAAUGAUGUAGGCUAUGGGGCCACAUAAGACUUUGUGCAUCCAGGGUUACAUAGCAGGACAACUUUAAACUAAAAAGCUACCAGACUGGGAUUUUAGUGUAUCAAGGAUCUAACAAAGUGUGCAAUGCAUGUGUAUACGUAUACAGUGACAGUGUUUAGUGUAUACCCUAAGGAUUAAGUGUAGUGUACAUUGUGCUUUUUAGUGUCACAAGAGUUUAAUAAAGAAUUAUACCUUCAAGAACCAUCCUUUGCCAUUGGAAUAACCACACUACACAUCAUGCAAUCUACUUGCAUGUCACACAGGUAAGGUCUCU